GACGAACGCUGGCGGCGUGCUUAACACAUGCAAGUCGAACGGAAAGGCCCUGCGUUUGUGGGGUGCUCGAGUGGCGAACGGGUGAGUAACACGUGAGUAACCUGCCCUUGACUUUGGGAGAACAUCAGGAAACUGGGGCUAAUACCGGAUAGGAGAUCCUGCUGCAUGGUGGGGGUUGGAAAGUUUCGGCGGUUGGGGAUGGACUCGCGGCUUAUCAGCUUGUUGGUGGGGUAGUGGCUUACCAAGGCUUGGACGGGUAGCCGGCCUGAGAGGGUGACCGGCCACAUUGGGACUGCGCUACGGCCCAGACUCCUACGGGAGGCAGCAGUGGGGAAUAUUGCACAAUGGGCCGACGCCUGAUGCAGCAACGCCGCGUGCGGGAUGACGGCCUUCGGGUUGUAAACCGCUUUCGCCUGUGCCGAAGCGUGAGUGACGGUAAUGGGUAAAGAAGCACCGGCUAACUACGUG
rnacentral:rRNA from 1 species